UACGGAGGGUGCAAGCAUUGAUCGGAAUUACUGGGCGUAAAGGGCGCGUAGGCGGUUGUGUAAGUCAGAUGUGAAAUUCCAGGGCUCAACCCUGGAGCUGCAUUUGAAACUGUAUAACUAGAGGGCAGUUAGGGAAAACGGAAUUCCACGUGUAGCGGUGAAAUGCGUAGAGAUGUGGAAGAACACCAGUGGUGAAGACGGUUUUCUGGGCUGUUACUGACGCUGAGGCGCGAAAGCAUGGGGAGCAAACAGG
rnacentral:rRNA from 1 species